rnacentral:rRNA from 1 species
UCUACGGGAGGCUGCAGUGGGGAAUAUUGGACAAUGGGCGAAAGCCUGAUCCAGCCAUGCCGCGUGUGUGAAGAAGGCCUUCGGGUUGUAAAGCACUUUCAGUGGGGAAGAAAGCCUUGGGGCUAAUACCCUCGAGGAAGGACAUCACCCACAGAAGAAGCACCGGCUAACUCCGUGCCAGCAGCCGCGGUAAUACGGAGGGUGCGAGCGUUAAUCGGAAUUACUGGGCGUAAAGCGCGCGUAGGCGGUCUGAUAAGCCGGUUGUGAAAGCCCCGGGCUCAACCUGGGAACGGCAUCCGGAACUGUCAGGCUAGAGUGCAGGAGAGGAAGGUAGAAUUCCCGGUGUAGCGGUGAAAUGCGUAGAGAUCGGGAGGAAUACCAGUGGCGAAGGCGGCCUUCUGGACUGACACUGACGCUGAGGUGCGAAAGCGUGGGUAGCAAACAGGAUUAGAUACCCGAGUAGUC